AUUACCACCCCCUGUUACUAAAUUACAAAGGAGCUUGGCUGAAGACUUCAUCCUUUAUUGUGUCUGAUUCUAUAAAUAUUCAUGGUCGGCAGUCAUCAAUGGCCAAUCAGAUCACAAUCGGAACUGAGCAGAUGAUCUGUUGAGGAAGCUGAGCCAAGUGCCUCCCUUCCAGGUAAAUCCCUGUAAACACUUCUUCCCACUGUUUCAUUUCCAGGGCUAAUGAUGUUGCUUUUCUUUCUGGGUUUGUUUACUCUCCUUCUCCUUCCUCUCUCGGGGUUUUCUUCAUGGUCUAGUCCCGUGAAGAAUCAUCAAGGUGAUUGUUGUGUACACUUAUCUUCAGACGGCAUCCUUCGCCUGUCAAGUCAGAAAGUGUGCAUGUGUAUAGAGGUCACCGUCUGAAUAUGUAAUAGAAACAGACGUUCCUGGAGAUACAGUUAGCAGGACUCAGCGGGGGUUGAGGGUGUUGCAGUAAUCAGGGUUGAAAUGGUGCUCGUUAUAUUUGUCAACUUGCUGGUGGUGGCACAAAUGGAGUGAGUGUGCCUGCAAUUUAAUGUCUGCUGAAUGAGAGUGGUGUUGAGGUGAGAUGGCAGCGGGCUGUAAGUAAUUUCUUGCAGGUUGAUUUUAGUUACUGUGAACAUUUGUAUCCUGUUAGAAUUUCAAAUUUAUUUUAUAUUAUUUUCAAUGAUGGCCUAGGAACAGUGAGUUAACUGCCUGUUAAGGGGCAGAAUGACAGAUGUGUACCUUGUCAGCUCGGGGAUUUGAAUUUGCAACCUUCCGGUUACUAGUCCAACGCUGUAACCACUAGGCUACCCUGCCGUACCAGUACCAGUUAAAAGUUUGGACACACCUACUCAUUCAAGGGCUUUUCUUUAUAACUCUGUAAAGAGUUGAUUUGGGCUGCAAUUUCUGAGAUCUAAUGAACUUAUCCUCUGCAGCAGAGGCUCUAAAUCUUCCUUUUGUUUGGUGGUCCUCAUGGUGCUUCAAAGUUCUUGAAAUGUUCCGCAUUGACUGACUUUCAUGUCUUAAAGUAAUGAUGAACUGUCGUUUCUCUUUGCUUAUUUGAGCUGUUCUUGCCAUAUUAUGGACUUGGUCUUUUACAAAAUAGGGCUUUUGUAUACUACCCCUCUCUUGUCACAACACAGCUGAUUGGCUCAAAUGCACUAAGAAGGAUAGAAAUUCCACAAAUGAUCUACCUCAUGAAGCUGGUUGAGAGAAUGCCAAAACGUGUGCAAAGCUCUCAUCAAGGGAAAGGGUGGCUACUUUGAAGAAUCUGUUUAACACUUUUUUGGUUACAACAUGAUUACAUAUGUGUUAUUUCAUAGUUUUGAUGUCUUCACUAUUAUUCUCCAAUGUAGAAAACAGUAAAAAAAAAAUAAGAAAACCCCUUGAAUGAGUAGCUGUAUCCAAAUGUUUUACUGGGACUGUACAUGUAUGGUUUAAGUUAUCCUUUUGUGAAUGUUAAAUCUAUUAACAUGUUAUUAUUAUACUAUUACUCAACUGUGUUGGCACUUAACCUAGAGUUUAACUCUUGAUUUUCAGACGUUGUAACCUGAUCUAGUUCUAUCCAGACAGUCCGUAGGUAUUUUGGAGCAUCUCAGGGUAUGGUUAUUGUCUGGAACAUUAGAGGAGAGAACAAUAUGAGCCCUUAAACAUGAAAGCAGUCUUUGAUUUUAACACGAUCAAAUAAAUUAUUCUAAUUAUGCAUUAGAGGAAACAGCUGCCUGCAUUUUAUUUUGUAAGAUUGUCUAAAAUGCUCAUUUAAACUGUAGAUAUAUUUGACAAUGCUGUUUCCACUGCUGAUGUUGUAAAUCAGGAAAGCAUACAGAAAUAUAAAAACAUAUCUAGGCCCAAAUGUUCUCGUUUUGUCCCUCCAACUCUUCUCAUCCCUUACCACCAGCACCACAGUAUCAGAGGAGUGACUCCAUACAGUCCAGCUGCAGCUGUGGAUCUGAUCCUGACUCCUGAUCCCCCCCCCCCUGUCACCUCUGUCCCCCUUAUGACAGAUGCAGCCAUUGAACUUCCUAAUAGCAGAUUUCCACCUUCCCUUAAUGCUUUUCAUUUUAAUCAUUAGUACAACUCUCCAAAUGAAUUCCAUCUUUUUGCCUAAUUUAGCAAAUCUGGUGCCCUGAUGUGACCUAUUUAAAUACAAUUGGGUCCAGUGCUGUGGUUAUAAACAAACCGUUUUGUUGAACUAGUAGGCUAGCUAGAAGUUGGAUCUCUCCUCCCCAACAUCGUCCCUCCUAUGGGGAUAUAGUGCCUGUGGUUUGCCACAUGCUUCAAGAGGGCCACCAUUGUUCCUGUUCCCAAGAAAGCUAAGGUAACUGAGCUAAACGACUACCACCCCGUAGCACUCACUUCCGUCAUCAUGAAGUGCUUUGAGAGACUAGUCAAGGACCAUAUCACCUCCACCCUACCUGACACCCUAGACCCACUCCAAUUUGCUUACCGCCCAAAUAGGUCCACAGACGAUGCAAUCUCAACCACACUGCACACUGCCCUAACCCAUCUGGACAAGAGGAAUACCUAUGUGAGAAUGCUGUUCAUCGACUACAGCUCAGCAUUUAACACCAUAGUACCCUCCAAGCUCAUCAUCAACCUCGAGACCCUGGGUCUCGACCCCGCCCUGUGCAACUGGGUACUGGACUUCCUGACGGGCCGCCCCCAGGUGGUGAGGGUAGGCAAGAACAUCUCCACCCCGCUGAUCCUCAACACUCGGGCCCCACAAGGGUGUGUUCUGAGCCCUCUCCUGUACUCCCUGUUCACCCACGACUGCGUGGCCACGCACGCCUCCAACCCAAUCAUCAAGUUUGCGGACGACACCACAGUGGUAGGCUUGACGAGACGGCCUACAGGGAGGAGGUGAGGGCCCUCGGAGUGUGGUGUCAGGAAAAUAACCUCACACUGCUCUGCCCACAACCUUAAGGCUCUUCAGAGGGUAGUGAGGUCUGCACAACGCAUCAUCGGGGGCAAACUACCUGCCCUCCAGGACACCUACACCACCUGAUGUUACAGGAAGGCCAUAAAGAUCAUCAAGGACAACAACCACCCGAGCCACUGCCUGUUCACCCCACUAUCAUCCAGAAGGCGAGGUCAGUACAGGUGCAUCAAAGCUGGGACCGAGAGACUGAAAAAUAGCUUCUAUCUGAAGGCCAUCAGACUGUUAAACAGCAACCACUAACAUUGAGUGGCUGCUGCCAACACACUGACUCAACUCCAGCCACUUUAAUAAUGGGAAUUGAUGGGAAAUGAUGUAAAAUAUAUCACUAGCCACUUUAAACAAUGCUACCUAAUAUAAUGUUUACAUACCCUACAUUAUUCAUCUCAUAUGUAUACGUAUAUACUGUACUCUAUAUCAUCUACUGCAUCUUUAUGUAAUACAUGUAUCACUAGCCACUUUAACUAUACCACUUUGUUUACAUACUCAUCUCAUAUGUAUAUACUGUACUCGAUACCAUCUA